UACGGGGGGGCAAGCGUUGUUCGGAAUUACUGGGCGUAAAGGGCUCGUAGGUGGCCAACUAAGUCAGACGUGAAAUCCCUCGGCUUAACCGGGGAACUGCGUCUGAUACUGGAUGGCUUGAGUUUGGGAGAGGGAUGCGGAAUUCCAGGUGUAGCGGUGAAAUGCGUAGAUAUCUGGAGGAACACCGGUGGCGAAGGCGGCAUCCUGGACCAACACUGACACUGAGGAGCGAAAGCCAGGGGAGCAAACGGG
rnacentral:rRNA from 1 species